rnacentral:lncRNA from 10 species
AUUCUGUUUAUUAAACUAUCUCCCAGUACAUGUAGAUAAUCCCACCAUUAUUUUAUUAUAGAAAAUCUACAGUCGUUCCAACUUCUAAAAUGCAAUUAAGAACUCCAGUUAUGAUAAUCUUUAAGGAUCAUUCUUCUCUAAGAUAAUAUGUCUCUACAGCUUUUACUGCCUUUGAAAAUCCUCUCUGUCACAUCUCCUGAAGAAAACAGUUUCUUGUCCAGAUGAAUUACAGUGAAAAAGGAAAAGCAUUUAUCUGAACAUUAAAAUCCCUUUCCAUUACAACCCUGAAUUCUUUAGAAUAAUUCUUGUUCAUUUGGGUAAUUUCCGAUUACCUUAAACCAGUAUACUUGUUAUUCUCAUAAAGCGGAUGUACAAUUCUACCUGGUGUAACAUGAACUCCGGAACCAGGUUGCUUGGGUUUGAAUCCUAAGUCUACCAGGUAUAAGCUCUAUAACCUUGAACAAGCCACUUAAUAUUUCCAUGUCUCAGGUUCCUGAUCUCCAAAUAAGUAAAAUAAAAAUAAUUAUAUCAAACCCUUAAUUUAAAGUUUAACUCAGUUAGUACAUGUGAAAUGCUAAGAACAUGGUUUGGCCGGUAGUAGCUGAGAAAAUGGACCUGUAGUAACUGCUAUGCAAAUAUUCUUUGAAAUAAAAACAAAACGAAAUAAAUAUGCUAAUCUUUUUACCAGAUUGCAUGACUAUUCAGUCUUAACAAAGUUGGCUAAGAUUAGGCCAACAUCAUCCAGAAAAAUGUCCUCAGUUAUAAACAGUAGGGAAAUCUUAGAAAGAAUGAUUGAAGCACACAAAGUAAACAACACAGGAAAAUUAGCGAUAUAUGUGUCUGCAGAAAAAUGAGAACCAAGGGUUCCUGAGGUAGAUGGUUAGGCAUUUCAUGUGUGUAAAAGAUUCCAAUUAUAAAUCUGGAAGACAAGGCACUGGUAGAGUACCUGACCCUAAUAAAUAAAUACUCAUUAAAAUUUUGCUUAAUUUAGUAUAAAUAAAUUUAAUUAAUUAUUCAGUUAACUGGUAAAUGAAAUAGUUGUUUGACUAUAAGCCAAGUCACUUGACAUGUCUAGGUUCUGUUUCCUCAACUGUUAAAUAAGGAAAAUUAUCUAGAUCAGCAUUUCCUUAAUUGUGUUCAACUCAAGACUGGGUUCUUAGAGUUGUUAAUCAGCUCUUGGAAACAAAUCCAUGGUUGAAUAAUUUUAGGAAAACCCAUAUGCUAUCUUUCUCUUGCAUUUACAAACAAACUGGUAUAGUAGACAUUUUAAGAUCUUUUAUUGUAAGGAAAUUUUAUUUAUCUGACAAUUUCCCAAACUUAAUUGACCAUUGACUCUUUUCCUCUGGUUUCUAGCCUAUUGGUAUUUCACAGAAUUACUGCUAUUCUGAACAAAAAUUGGAAAUAAUACUACUCAAUGUUUGGUGUGUGGCUCAGUGUCAGUCUGCAAAUUAUUUACCAGUCUAUAACAGAAUAAGUACAAAAACUAAGAGCAGGCAUUUAAAAACUUUUAUAGCAAUUUGACACAGUAAUUUUAUGUUUAUUGAAUCUAAUAAUGAAAAUCAGGGAUUGUAUUUUGUAGGUUUUCCCUUCAUUGCUUUUUUCCUUAUAAAUUAAUUUUUAUUAGUUGUUUUUUUUUUUUUUUUUUUUUUUUUUUGAGAUGGAGUCUUGCUCUUUAGCCCAGGCUGCAGUGCGGUGGCAUGAUCUGGGCUCACUGCAAGCUCCGCCUCCCAGGUUCAUGCCAUUCUCCUGCCUCAGCCUCCAGAGUAGCUGGGACUACAGGCGCCCACCACCGUGCCUGGCUGAUUUUUUUGUAUUUUUGGUAAAGACGGGGUUUCGCUGUGUUAGCCAGGAUGGUCUCGAUCUCCUGACCUCAUGAUCGGCCCACCUCGGCCUCCCAAAGUGCUGGGAUUACAGGCGUGAGCCACAGCGCCUGGCCUUUUAUUAGAUUUCACUUAGUCUCUUGUACACUGAAAAUUUUUUCUGAAUGUUCACAGCAGCUUUAUUCAUAAGAGCAAAAAACAACAAAAAAAUUAAAAUGGGUUCUUUACCACAGAUAGUUUCAGAACACCAAUGUCAUCUCCAAAAAGAUUCACAUUAUAAAUCCUUCCACUAAUUCCAUGCAGAAGUCCAUGAAGAUGAAGUUUCCUGGGUUCUACUGCAAACUUUUAUCAGAAUCUUUAGAAUCAUAGGGAAUCUACAUUUUCACAGCACCCAAGUAAUUCUGACUAUAUUUUGAGCAUUACACUGUGGCAACCUGAUGGGAGAAGCUGUAUUUUUAUUUAUCUUUGUUCCAUCAGUAACGAACCCACAGUAAAUAAAUAUGUUUGUAGCAUAUGUAAAUGAGAAAAAUCAAGUAACGAUAUGGAGUCUCUGAGGUCUAUGUUCAUGGAUAGUUUAGAGUUAAACAAAACUGGAAACAAAUUACUACCCCCAAAGAAUCAAAUCCUAUACAUCACUUGUCAGGAAAAAAAAAAUGCCAUUCUCCAGACACUUCCACUUACAGCCUACUUCAUGUUUUAAUUAUCUUGAAGUGGGUGGGAUUUUUCAGCAUGAUCCUGCAAAACUGUCAAUCAUUUCUCUUCUUAUCCAAGCAUAGCACCAUAACAGAAGUUGAUCUACUAAACAGCUCCUUAGUACUGCAAUUUAAUAUAAAAAUACACUCUCAGUCCAUGUCAUAGCCAACAUUAUAUUCACUAUGUGGACACAAAUAAUUUGAACACUUUGUUAAAAUAUACUUUUACUAGUCCUUGCCCAGUAAGGCAUCAAUCAGUUUAAUUUUACUGUGGAAUUUUUGUACAUGUUUUCAUGUUCAUAUCUAUAGAAAGCUAAAUGUUUAAAGUCCAGCUUGACAUGUUUCUCAUAUUUUUACUCUGCUAAUAAGUCAAAAUAUGUGUGUGAGACAUGAAUACCUUAGGAUAUUGUGUGUCUGUUUGUUGAGAUGACCCUAAACUCUGACCCUAAACAGUGGUCCUCCACUUGGACCACACUUUGGAAUUGUCUGAAGUACUGAGAAAUACAGUGCUUACUUUGGCAGCACAUGUACUAAAAUUGGAACAAUACAGAGAAGAUUAGCGUGCCCCCUGAGCAAAGAUGAUAUGCAGACUCAUGAAGCAUUCCAUGUUUUUGAGAAAAAGAAAUGCUUUUACAUUGUUGGUGGGGAUGAAAAUUAGUUCAACGAUUGUGGAAGACAGUGUGACAAUUCCUCAAAGAUCUAGAAGCAAAAAAUACCAUUUGACCCAGCAAUCCCAUUACUAGGUAUAUACUCAAAGGAAUAUAAAUCAUUCUAUUAUAAAGAUACAUGCAUGUGUAUGCUCAUUGCAGCACUAUUCACAACAGCCAAGACAUGGAAUCAACCCACGUGCCCAUCAGUGACAGACUGGAUAAAAAAAGUGGUAUAUAUAAACCAUGGAAUACCAUGCAGCCAUUAAAAGUAACAAGAUCAUGUCCUUUGCAGGGACAUGGAUGGAGCUGGAAAUUGUUAUCCUCAGCAAACUAACACAGGAACAGAAAACCAAACACCGCAUGUUCUCACUUACAAGUGGGAGGCGAAUGAUGAGAACACAUGGAACAACAUACACUGUGGCCUCUAUGGGGGUUGGGGGAAGGGAGAGCAUCAGGAAGAAUAGCUAAUGGAUGCUGGGUUAGAUACCUAAGUGAUGGGUUAAUCUGUGCAGCAAACCACCACAGCACACAUCUAGAGUUUCUGAUUGAAUUCAUUAUUGGAGUGGUCUGAAAGUCAGAAUUUUUAAGGCUUCUUAAAUAAUUCUAAUAUAUAUCCUGAGUUGAGAACCAUAAAUAAAAUCAGGUGCAGUUCUUAUCAAAAAAAAAAAACUGCAGUAAUUAUGAGAGAUCCCAUAUCCAAGGUAAAUGGGUGGAUUUGUAUUUGAAUUGAAUUAGAGAAGGGUCAGCUGUGAACCCACCAUGAAAGGGUUUCUUUUCACUUACUGAGAAUUAAGAAGACUGAUGAUGUUCAGUCUUAGGAGAGAAACGUACAUCCUUCUCUACACUCCUCACCCGUUUCCUCUGCACACCUUCAGCAAUCAUUAUUUGCUCAUCAGACUAAGGUUGUUUAUGGGGAAAAAAAAAAAGUUAAGAGACAGAUAAUAAGGGACCGAAAAAGAUGAGAGAGACAGAGUAAGACAGAGUGAGAGAGAAUGUCUUCAUUAAAUUACUAAAACAAAACAAAACAUUUAUCACUCUUUCAGCUUCAGGCCCUCAUCUCUAAUACGCUCCUGAACUACUGGGGUCCUGAAGGCAUAAAAUUCUUUUCUCAGGCUCAGAUCCUUUCACCUCUAGAUACAGCCAGAAGUCCUGGAGAGAGGAAGGGAAAGGAGUAAGGAAGAAAGAAAGGAAAAGCAUUACUUUGGGGGCAAGAGAGAUUUGCCUCUUCCCUUUCCUUCCUGCAUGUAUGGAGGGGCAAGGAAAGACUUACUUGACCUUCAGCCAGAUAACGGCUUGUGGCUUUCUCUUACACACCCAGAGGCCACAUUCCUUGAUUCAAUCUACUUUCAGC